ACGGGAGGCAGCAGUGAGGAAUAUUGGGCAAUGGGCGAAAGCCUGACCCAGCGACGCCGCGUGGAGGAAGAAGAUCUUCGGAUUGUAAACUCCUGUCAACAGGGAAGAAGAAAGUGACGGUACCUGUAGAGGAAGCCACGGCUAACUACGUGCCAGCAGCCGCGGUAAUACGUAGGUGGCGAGCGUUAUCCGGAUUUACUGGGUGUAAAGGGUGUGUAGGCGGCUUGGCAAGUCAGAUGUGAAACCUCAGGGCUUAACCCUGAGCUUGCAUUUGAUACUACUGAGCUUGAGAGUCGGAGGGGUAAUCGGAAUUCCCGGUGUAGAGGUGAAAUUCGUAGAUAUCGGGAGGAACACCAGUGGCGAAGGCGGAUUACUGGACGACCACUGACGCUGAGACACGAAAGCGUGGGGAGCAAACAGGAUUAGAUACCCUGGUA
rnacentral:rRNA from 2 species